rfam:Syntrophus aciditrophicus SB, complete genome.
GGAACCAUAGGGCACCGUGCGAAGGACGCCGGAGUGCAAAGCUAUAAGCUGACGAACAGAAACAGCAUGCAAGGCCGAGUCUCCUUCAAAUCAGCACAACAUGACAAAGUCCUGGAUUCUGGAGAUACGUUGAAUGCUGCGGUUGCAGAGUCACAGUUCACGUU